AACGGUAGCAGCAGAGCUUGCUCUGGCUGACGAGUGGCGGACGGGUGCGUAACGCGUGGGAAUCUACCUUAUAGUGGGGGAUAGCCCGGAGAAAUCCGGAUUAAUACCGCAUAAUCUCUACGGAGCAAAGUGGGGGGUCUUCGGACCUCACGCUAUUAGAUGAGCCCGCGUUAGAUUAGCUUGUUGGUGAGGUAACGGCUCACCAAGGCAUCGACGGGUAGCUGGUCUGAGAGGAUGAUCAGCCACACUGGAACUGAGACACGGUCCAGACUCCUACGGGAGGCAGCAGUGGGGAAUAUUGCACAAUGGGCGAAAGCCUGAUGCAGCAACGCCGCGUGCGGGAAGAAGGCCUUAGGGUUGUAAACCGCUUUCAGCAGGGAAGAAAAUGACGGUACCUGCAGGAGAAGGUGCGGCCAACUACGUGCCAGCAGCCGCGGUGACACGUAGGCACCAAGCGUUGUCCGGAUUUAUUGGGCGUAAAGAGCUCGUAGGCGGUUCAGUAAGUCGGGUGUGAAAACUCUGGGCUCAACCCAGAGACGCCACUCGAUACUGCUGUGACUUGAGUACGGUAGGGGAGCGGGGAAUUCCUGGUGUAGCGGUGAAAUGCGCAGAUAUCAGGAGGAACACCAGUGGCGAAGGCGCCGCUCUGGGCCGAAACUGACGCUGAGGAGCGAAAGCGUGGGUAGCAAACAGGAUUAGAUACCCUGGUAGUCCACGCCGUAAACGUUGGGCACUAGGUGUGGGUCUCAACCAACGAGAUCCGCGCCGUCGCUAACGCAUUAAGUGCCCCGCCUGGGGAGU
rnacentral:rRNA from 1 species